GACGAACCGUGCGAACGUUAUUCGGAAUCACUGGGCUUAAAGCGCGUGUAGGCGGAUGGGGGACGUCGGUCGUUGAAAGCCCCCCGGCUCAACCGGGGAACUGGCACCGAAACGCCCCGUCUCGAGGGACGUAGGGGGACCUGGAACUUCCGGUGGAGCGGUGAAAUGCGUUGAGAUCGGAAGGAACGCCCGUGGCGAAGACGAGGUCCUGGGACGUCUACUGACGCGUGAGACGCGAAAGCUAGGGGAGCGAACGGG
rnacentral:rRNA from 1 species